rnacentral:rRNA from 1 species
GAAUAUUGCGCAAUGGACGAAAGUCUGACGCAGCGACGCCGCGUGUGGGAGGAAGCCUUUCGGGGUGUAAACCACUGUCAGAGGGGAAGAACGCCGAUCAGUCGAAUAGGCUGGUCGGGUGACGGUACCCUCAAAGGAAGCGCCGGCUAACUCCGUGCCCGCAGCCGCGGUAAGACGGAGGGCGCAAGCGUUGUUCGGAAUUACUGGGCGUAAAGCGCGGGCAGGCGGUCUGUUAAGUCAUUUGUGAAAACCCGGGGCUCAACCCCGUGGAAUGCAGAUGAUACUGGCAGACUAGAGAAUGGUAGAGGCUAGCGGAAUUCCUGGUGUAGCGGUGGAAUGCGUAGAUAUCAGGAAGAACACCUGUGGCGAAGGCGGCUAGCUGGGCCAUUUCUGACGCUCAUCCGCGAAAGCGUGGGGAGCAAACAGG